rnacentral:rRNA from 1 species
CACGUAGGGGGCGAGCGUUGUCCGGAAUCAUUGGGCGUAAAGAGCUCGUAGGCGGCUCAGUAAGUCGGGUGUGAAACCCUCAGGCUCAACCUGGGGACGCCACCCGAUACUGCUGUGGCUAGAGUCCAGUAGGGAGUGUGGAAUUCCCGGUGUAGCGGUGAAAUGCGCAGAUAUCAGGAGGAACACCGAUGGCGAAGGCAGGUCUCUGGCCACUACUGACGCUGAGAAGCGAAAGCAUGGGAGCGAACAGG